CUGACCACCAGGCAGGAGAGAACAAUGUAUUCUGGGGAUGCAGGAUUUCCUCCUUUGGACCCACUUCCAAUAGAAAUCCCCACACACAUCGUAUCUUCCAUCUGUCUGCUGAAACACAAAGAUAAAUGUCUCGACAAGAGAGCAAGGGAGAGGUUUUGACAACACCAAAGAUGCUUGAAAGCAGAGAAUCUUGUAGGGCUUAAGAAAGAAAGACUUUCAUCUCUCAGAUUCAUUUCUCCGGGGAGUGUUAACUGCCCCCAGACGAGUCACCACAAUGCAGCAACCGGUAAAACUAUUUUCCCUGUCUCCAAGGCAUCCCUGAAGCACCAAGAGGCCAAUUCCUCUCGGGGAGACAUGCAAGUUACAAAAUGCAGGGCAGGGAGGAAGCAGCAAGCAGUCAAUUCGCCUGGAAAGAGCUGUGUGAGAAUCAUAGGUGUAAUUUACUAGCUUUCAGUUGCCACUUCAGAGGGGCAAAGUCCGAAUACUUCUUAGGUAUCGAAGUUGUGCUCCCCGUGGCGUGGCCCUGAAACAUUUCCGUUGUGUUAUCAGGUUCUGUGCUGGGUCCACCGAUUGCCUAAUUACUCUUGCGGGGCUCCUUCUGCUCUCUCCCUUCCGUUUGCUGCGGCCAGGAAUUAUAACCCUGAUUGUUCCAGGCUGUUUCUCGGACAUUCACGUGUUUCCCUUAACUGGAGAAGACACCGCGGUGCAGUCGCCUCCCUUCUGGGACUGGAAGAUGAGAUAUUUUAGGGAUGAGUGA
ensembl:lncRNA